UACGUAGGGGCAAGCGUUGUCCGGAAUCAUUGGGCGUAAAGAGCGUGUAGGCGGCCAGAUAAGUCCGCUGUGAAAUCUCGAGGCUCAACUUCGAGCUGUCGGUGGAAACUGUCUGGCUAGAGUCCGGAAGAGGAGAAUGGAAUUCCUGGUGUAGCGGUGAAAUGCGCGAUAUCAGGAAGAACACCCGUGGCGAAGGCGGUUCUCUGGGACGGUACUGACGCUGAGACGCGAAGCGUGGGAGCGAACAGG
rnacentral:rRNA from 1 species